GGAAUUCACAGUCCAAAUCACCAAUUCCUGCUCAUCUUGACUAGGAUAAAUCACUUGAAAGUACUUGGAAGUGAAAUAAAUAGUCUUCUCUUGCCAGCUGCUGGCUGAUUCCAUUUACCAUUGUUAAUGAUGUCAACAACCUUGUCUUGCAUAGAGCAGAAUCAUACAUAAUUCUUCUGCUGUAUGAUUGCACUCUGUAGGAUGGCAAUUAUGAAUAUCAUAGAAAAUUGUUAUCUCCAAUUCCUGUCUUUUUGUCCCUGCAAAAGAGGGUCUAGCUUUGUCUCUUGGUUUGAGUAUUGUUUAGAAGGUACUCCAAUUAUUACAUUUUGACAUGUUGCUUCUAUAAUGAAUUUUCUGAAGGUAAUGCAAUAAUUUUUUUUCCAACAAGUGAUUGGUGAGCACAAAACUUUUUAUUUUUGGCAAUUCAAGUUUCUAAUUGAAAAUUAUUCUAUCUGAUAUUCUAUAUUAGGAUUAAAUGUAUGGCUUUUGUUAUUAUAGUGCAUUUUUGCCGCAAGAAUAUGUUAUGACAUUGAACCAUAAUUAGUUAUUUGAGAGGAACAGUUGCGGCAACAGAUAAAUAUAAAGGAUUUUAGUUAAAUGAAGUUUUUAAGGAGUGUGACAAUAUUCAGCUUUUUAGGUCAUUGCAGUUUGUUAUGAUUAUUUAGUCAUGUUUUUCUAAUUCCAGUUUAG
rnacentral:misc_RNA from 1 species